CCUACGGGGGGCAGCAGUGAGGAAUAUUGGUCAAUGGACGAGAGUCUGAACCAGCCAAGUAGCGUGAAGGAUGACUGCCCUAUGGGUUGUAAACUUCUUUUAUAUGGGAAUAAAAUGUUCCACGUGUGGGAUUUUGUAUGUACCAUAUGAAUAAGGAUCGGCUAACUCCGUGCCAGCAGCCGCGGUAAUACGGAGGAUCCGAGCGUUAUCCGGAUUUAUUGGGUUUAAAGUGAGCGUAGGUGGAUUGUUAAAUCAGUUGUGAAAGUUUGCGGCUCAACCGUAAAAUUGCAGUUGAAACUGGCAGUCUUGAGUACAGUAGAGGUGGGCGGAAUUCGUGGUGUAGCGGUGAAAUGCUUAGAUAUCACGAAGAACUCCGAUUGCGAAGGCAGUUCACUGGACUGCAACUGACACUGAGGCUCGAAAGUGUGGGUAUCAAACAGGAUUAGAUACCCUUGUAGUC
rnacentral:rRNA from 1 species